CAGUCGCCACGGGAAUACGAAGGGUGCAAGCGUUACUCGGAAUUACUGGGCGCAAAGCGUGCGUAGGUGGUGGUUUAAGUCCGUUGUGAAAGCCCUGGGCUCAACCUGGGAAUUGCAGUGGAUACUGGGUCACUAGAGUGUGGUAGGGGAUAGUGGAAUUUCCGGUGUAGCAGUGAAAUGCGUAGAGAUCGGAAGGAACAUCUGUGGCGAAGGCGACUAUCUGGGCCAACACUGACACUGAGGCACGAAAGCGUGGGGAGCAAACAGGAUUAGAUACCCCUGUAGUCCCUGUCUCUUAUAU
rnacentral:rRNA from 1 species